CCUCGGGUGGCUGCAGUGGGGAAUAUUGGACAAUGGGCGAAAGCCUGAUCCAGCCAUGCCGCGUGUGUGAAGAAGGCCUUCGGGUUGUAAAGCACUUUCAGUGGGGAAGAAAGCCUUGGGGCUAAUACCCUCGAGGAAGGACAUCACCCACAGAAGAAGCACCGGCUAACUCCGUGCCAGCAGCCGCGGUAAUACGGAGGGUGCGAGCGUUAAUCGGAAUUACUGGGCGUAAAGCGCGCGUAGGCGGUCUGAUAAGCCGGUUGUGAAAGCCCCGGGCUCAACCUGGGAACGGCAUCCGGAACUGUCAGGCUAGAGUGCAGGAGAGGAAGGUAGAAUUCCCGGUGUAGCGGUGAAAUGCGUAGAGAUCGGGAGGAAUACCAGUGGUGAAGGCGGCCUUCUGGACUGACACUGACGCUGAGGUGCGAAAGCGUGGGUAGCAAACAGGAUUAGAUACCCUUGUAGUC
rnacentral:rRNA from 1 species